rnacentral:rRNA from 1 species
UAGGGCGGACCGGGACCGGCACCGGGUGAGUAACGCGUAUCCACCCGGCCGAUGACUCGGGGAUAGCCUUUCGAAAGAAAGAUUAAUACCCGAUGGCAUAGUUCUUCCGCAUGGUAGAACUAUUAAAGAAUUUCGGUCAUCGAUGGGGAUGCGUUCCAUUAGUUUGUUGGCGGGGUAACGGCCCACCAAGACUACGAUGGAUAGGGGCUCUGAGAGGAAGGUCCCCCACAUUGGAACUGAGACACGGUCCAA